CGCUUCUGGUUCAAGAACAACCAUCACAUGAUGACCAGGACCAUAAGCUUAUGAUGGCGUGAUGUGAGAAGGGCAAUUAUUGUAAGACAGUUCACCACUGUCAUCGACAAGAUAUAUCAUUGCGAUCAAGUUCAUUAUCUUCUCCCCAAGUCCCGGAAUUAUCUGUAAAGCUUGAAAUGAGCAUGGAGAACCCAACGUGCAACCGUAGCUUCAAUGAGAUCUAAUCAGGACUAAAGCAGAUUGGAUGGAAGCAGAUGAAUAAGCACCCUGUUCCUUAUCAGAGAUUAAUG